AUGAAUUUCGAGCACGUGUUCAAGAACGAGUCGGAGCUGGAGAAACCCUCGACUUCGGGAUCACCAAGAAAAGUGACGAUCGAGGAGUGUUUCUCCAGGCAGAGUGGGAAGCAGAGGUCGAAAGGCGGUGCAAAGAGGAGCUCCUCGCCGAGUCGUCAUCCGAAUCAGGCGACUCGAUCGGAGAGCUCUUCCUCUGCGAAGAAGAGAUGUACGAGUCCUCGGCCGGAGAAGAACGUGGAGGAGAGAAUAGUGCUGGAGCUCUCUCCGACCCCCUCUCCGGUGCCGAGGAACCAGGAGGACCGGGAGUGGACGGAGGUUCCGAACACUCAGGUUUUGAUGGCGGAAGAAGAGGACUAUCGGGCAGACAAGGAAAAGGAGCAAUUACGGAAGAAAGCGACGACGAACGGAUGGUUACUGAUGCUGACGAAUCUUGUGUACCUGAGUGGAUGCGGUUUGGCUCCUCUCCCUCGGACCUUGGAUCUGAUGAAGACGGAACUACAGAAGAUGGCUACCGAUGCGCAGAACUGGGGGAUCUUGGGAUCCGGGAUGUUGAAGCGUUGUAUGAAGGACUUGGUUAGUCAAGGAAAGAAGUUGUUGACCUGUGGCGUACCGGAUAUGGUGGAGCUCAUGGUCGAAGAUACGUCAUACACGACAUUUUUCGACUUGGAGCUGCCCAUCGAGAUCCGGAAGUCAUUUCGAAGCAGCUGGCUCGGUUCUCCACAGGAACUUUCAUCGUAUCCGUCCACGGCUGCCACCUCCACUGUGUCCAUGCCUGCCGCUUCUCAAACAGCACGUGCAGGUGCUAUAUCACAAAGCACUUGCGCGGGCGGUUCGGGAGGUGGGUGGCUCGCAGGAAUUGCAAAGAACGUGAAUACAGCGAGACACGGUGGAGUUAUCUCGCAAUAUACUUAUGCAGCGGUGGACGGAGGCCAGCUAAAGUUUCAGUCGAAGGGUGAAAUUGGGCAUACCACCGUUCGACUGGAAAUUUACCCGUUCGCAAAAAUCGUCCAGCAGAAGCCGUUCAACUGGUGGGUCGACGCGGAAUGGCGGACGCUGUUCCACCUCGAUCCCCAGGACCCGGACCUAGCUCUGCUAAGGGAGAUUUGCGAACGGAAAACGAAACAACUUGUGGAGAUAGGGGUAGAGGGAACGAUGAUACAUCCAGAGUACCGAGACGAAACAAAGGCGAGCAAAUCCUAG
rnacentral:lncRNA from 1 species